rnacentral:tRNA from 1 species
GCUGGGGUGGCGGAAUUGGUAUACGCGCAUGGCUUAGGACCAUGUCUCGCAAGGGAUGGAGGUUCGAGUCCUCUCCCCAGCACCA